AGUAAUCGCGGAUCAGCAUGCCGCGGUGAAUACGUUCCCAGGCCUUGUACACACCGCCCGUCACACCAUGGGAGUUGGAUUCACCCGAAGGCAGUGCGCUAACCGCAAGGAGGCAGC
rnacentral:rRNA from 1 species